rnacentral:rRNA from 1 species
ACUGUGACGGUAGUUACCAGAAAGGGACGGCUAACUACGUGCCAGCAGCCGCGGUAAUACGUAGGUCCCGAGCGUUGUCCGGAUUUAUUGGGCGUAAAGCGAGCGCAGGCGGUUUGAUAAGUCUGAAGUUAAAGGCUGUGGCUCAACCAUAGUUCGCUUUGGAAACUGUCAAACUUGAGUGCAGAAGGGGAGAGUGGAAUUCCAUGUGUAGCGGUGAAAUGCGUAGAUAUAUGGAGGAACACCGGUGGCGAAAGCGGCUCUCUGGUCUGUAACUGACGCUGAGGCUCGAAAGCGUGGGGAGCGAACAGGAUUAGAUACCCUGGUAGUCCACGCCGUAAACGAUGAGUGCUAGGUGUUGGAUCCUUUCCGGGAUUCAGUGCCGAAGCUAACGCAUUAAGCACUCUGCCUGGGGAGUACGACCGCAAGGUCGAAACUCAAAGGAAUUGACGGGGGCCCGCACAAGCGGUGGAGCAUGUGGUUUAAUUCGAAGCAACGCGAAGAACCUUACCAGGUCUUGACAUCCCGAUGCUAUUUCUAGAGAUAGAAAGUUACUUCGGUACAUCGGUGACAGGUGGUGCAUGGUUGUCGUCAGCUCGUGUCGUGAGAUGUUGGGAUAAGUCCCGCAACGAGCGCAACCCCUAUUGUUAGUUGCCAUCAUUCAGUUGGGCACUCUAGCGAGACUGCCGGUAAUAAACCGGAGGAAGGUGGGGAUGACGUCAAAUCAUCAUGCCCCUUAUGGCCUGGGCUACACACGUGCUACAAUGGUUGGUACAACGAGUUGCGAGUCGGUGACGGCGAGCUAAUCUCUUAAAGCCAAUCUCAGUUCGGAUUGUAGGCUGCAACUCGCCUACAUGAAGUCGGAAUCGCUAGUAAUCGCGGAUCAGCACGCCGCGGUGAACACGUUCCCGGGCCUUGUACACACCGCCCGUCACACCACGAGAGUUUGUAACACCCGAAGUCGGUGAGGUAACCUUUUGGAGCCAGCCGCCUAAGGUGGGACAGAUGAUUGGGGUGAAGUCGUAACAAGGUAGCCAUAUCGGAAGGUGCGGCUGGAUCACCUCCUUUCUAA